rnacentral:misc_RNA from 1 species
ACAUGUCUUCAGCUACAGGACCUGUUACAAAUGAAUCAUGGAUCCAGAGGCUAGUUAACUCAAAACUAUGAUGACAUAAAGUUGCAUACAUAGUGAGAUGAUUGGAAGCAGGACGGAUUUAGCGUGGACAAAUCCUCUUCCCUACCCAAAUAAUAUAAGGGAAUGGUUAAUUCAAGGUUGCACCCCAUGGAAAUUUAUUAGCCACUUGUAUAAUUAGAAAAACUUCCCAACUCCAAAUCCAAACAUGACAUAAGAUUGGAUGUAGCAUGAGAACUGAAAAGCCAUUUUCAGGACAUAUCCUUAUCUGGUUAGAAGAAUAAAAAAUUAUUUAAACAAAAAUUGAAUACAAUGUUUUACCACACGGGUUCCUAUCUGAUCAGAAGAAUUAAAUAUUUAAACAUGAAUCAUCGAUAGAGUCAAUGUGUUACCACAUGACCAAUUGGCCACAGCCCAGAGCUCCAUGCAUAUGGUAAAAAAUGAAGUGAGACCACUGCAUAUAAUUUACUAUGUUGGUAUAAUACCUUACAGAACUUCGAAGAACUUAAAAGUAGGUUGAAAAAUGUCAUUUCAAACAUGAAAUUCAUUUUAAAAAUAAAUAGAAGCAUUUCUUGGCAAAACAUGAAGCACAACUGUACAAUAACACCUCUAAAAAGAACUCAACAAAAUUCGACAAAAAGUAACUGAGAAAAUGAUACUUGAAACUUGAAACUUGAAAAUAUAAUUUGAGAUAUAAACGGGUAUCUUCUACACGUCAUAAUCAUAAAAAAUGAACAAUACUUACAACUUACAAGCAAUAUUUUAUGAAAAAACAUUGUAUAUUCAAGAAAAACAUGAGAAAAAGUGGAAAACAGCAUUUCAAAUUUGAAAACACAUUACUUCCAAAAUUUUGAAGAACUCCAUCAAGAUUGUAAACCCUGAAAAGCCAUUUGUGAAAUAUAUCAGAUAAAGGAACAACAGCAACUUGAAUAGAAGAGUACAUGCAGUAGUGGAGAAAGACAACCAUGAAUAACAAAAAGAAAAAAAAAAUACACUAAAUCAUAUUAUAGAGACUAGCACGAAAUAGUGAAAAAUCAUAAUACAACAUAAAAUAGCUAGCUCACCACAGGACCAAAGAAGAAGAAAAUAAAAGAAGAAACUCAACGCGUCAAAAGAAAGCAAUAAAAACCGGAGCCUUUUUUUUUUCCUGUACUCCUGUCCAACGAGGAGCACUGUGUCUCAAAGCUAUAAUCUCUAUGCAAACCCCCAAACCCCAAUUAACAACCACCAGAGCCACAGAGCCAGGCUGAGAUAGCAGUGCCAACAGCAAAUUUAUCAAUAAAUACUGAAAUUCACCAGAAGGAUGCAAUUAGACUAUGAAGGGCAAAAUCAGAAUAAGCGAUGAUAACUGAAAUCUAAAUACUAUCAACAAGGACUCUAAUAAGAAAUGAAUCAUCUGAGACAAA